AUUGAACGCUGGCGGCAGGCCUAACACAUGCAAGUCGAGCGGAAGAAGGGAGCUUGCUCCUGGAUUCCGCGGCGCAAGGGUGUGUAAUGCCUAGGAAUCUGCCUGGUAGUGGGUGAUAACGUCUGGAAACGGGCGCUAAUACCGCCUACGACCUGAGGGAGCAAGUGGGGGGUCUUCGGAACUCUUGCUAUCAGAUGAGUCUAGGUCGGAUUAGCUAGCUGGUGGGGUAAAGGCCUACCAGGCCGACGAUCGGUAACUGGCCUGAGAGGAUGAUCAGCCACAUGAGAACGUAGACACGGUCCAGGCGCCUACGGGAGGCAGCAGUGGGGAAUAGUGGACAAUGGUCGAAAGCCUGAUCCAGCCAGGCCGAGUGUGUGAAGAAGGUCUUCGGAUUGUGAAGCACUUUAAGGUGGUAUGAAGGGCAGUAGGUUAAGACCAAGCUGGUGUGACGGUACCAGCAGAAUAAGCACCGGCUAACUACGUG
rnacentral:rRNA from 1 species